GGUAUUGUUUGUAAAGGUUAUAUGUUGAAACCAUCGAGUGACUGAUAUAAUGACGUAUAUUGUUAAUAUUAUACCUGUCAAGCAUUCCAGUGUAUGUUCUGUGUGACUGUGUGUACCAUAUACUUGUAUCAAAAUAUAUAAUUAUAUAAUAUGAAUAUGUCCAGUAAUCCGUACAUAUUUUAUAUACUAGACUCUAUAGACAUGUAUCUGUUAAACGACUGGUGUAUUUGUAUGAUUGUGUUAAUCGUGAUUGUUAUAAAUCUGAAAUUGAAGGAUCAAUAAUUGUAUGCGUCUUCAAGAAAACUUUAUAGACCUUUUUAUUUUACAUCACUAAACCAUUGUUUUGUUCUGUUUUUAAUUUUCAAACACUUCUUGUUGUAUAAUGAGCAAAAGUUGACAUGUAUUAUCAAAAUCAUCAUGCAUGCGUCAGUGAUAUUGUGUUAUAUUUUUCUUUGAGUUAAUAUGAUAGUUUUACCAUACUAUAUACUAGUAAACCAUUGAUAGCUUUUUUGUACCUACGUAAUGCAUUAUAGCAAUUGUCUGUUAACAUUUUUAAAAAGUAAAACGAUGCCAUUGAAAAAAG
rnacentral:misc_RNA from 1 species